CCUACGGGUGGCAGCAGUGGGGGAUAUUGCACAAUGGGGGAAACCCUGAUGCAGCGACGCCGCGUGGGUGAAGAAGCGCCUCGGCGCGUAAAGCCCUGUCAGCAGGGUAGAAAAUGACGGUACCUGAAGCAGAAGCCCCGGCUAACUACGUGCCAGCAGCCGCGGUAUUACGUAGGGGGCAAGCGUUAUCCGGAUGUACGGGGUGUAACGGGGGCGCAGACGGCGUGGCAAGUCAGUAGUGAAAGCCCGGGGCGCAACCCCGGGACUGCUCUUGGAACUGCGUGGCUAGAGUGCAGGAGAGGCAGGCGGAAUGCGUGGUGUAGCGGUGAAAUGCGUAGAUAUCAGGAGGAACACCGGUGGCGAAGGCGGCCGGCUGGACUGCAACUGACGUUGAGGCCCGAAAGCGUGGGGAGCAAACAGGAUUAGAUACCCGAGUAGUC
rnacentral:rRNA from 1 species